rnacentral:rRNA from 1 species
GUUCNCNAGACNCCGGNGCCNNCUGACUGCCCUCGANCGAGAAGCUACCUUCUGAUUCCUUCGGGAUGAUGAAGUUGGUACGACAGUGGCAGAACGGGUGAGUAACGCGUGGGUAAUCUACCCUGUAAGUGGGGGAUAACCCUCCGAAAGGAGGGCUAAUACCGCAUAAUAUCUUUACUUCUCAAGAAGAAAAGAUUAAAGAUGGCCUNUAUACUAUGCUAUCACUUGAGGAUGANCCCGCGUCCUAUUANUUAUUUGGUGGGGUAAUGGCCUACCAAGACCNCAAUGGGUAGCCGGUCUGAGAGGAUGUACGGCCACACUGGGACUGAGAUACGGCCCANACUCCUACGGGAGGCAGCAGUGGGGAAUAUUGCGCAAUGGGGGAAACCCUGACGCAGCGACGCCGCGUGGAUGAUNAAGGCCUUUGNGUUGUAAAAUCCUGUUUUGGGGGAAGAAAGCUUAAGAGUUCANNAACCCUUAACCUGCGGNCCCCAAANAAANCUCCGGNUANUAUGUGC